CCUACGGGAGGCAGCAGUGGGGAAUAUUGCGCAAUGGGCGAAAGCCUGACGCAGCGACGCCGCGUGAGGGAUGAAGGCCUUCGGGUUGUAAACCUCUUUCAGCAGGGACGAAGCGAGAGUGACGGUACCUGCAGAAGAAGCACCGGCCAACUACGUGCCAGCAGCCGCGGUAAUACGUAGGGUGCAAGCGUUGUCCGGAAUUAUUGGGCGUAAAGAGCUCGUAGGCGGUCUGUCGCGUCGGCUGUGAAAACUCGGGGCUCAACCCCGAGCCUGCAGUCGAUACGGGCAGACUAGAGUGCUGUAGGGGAGACUGGAAUUCCUGGUGUAGCGGUGAAAUGCGCAGAUAUCAGGAGGAACACCGGUGGCGAAGGCGGGUCUCUGGGCAGUAACUGACGCUGAGGAGCGAAAGCGUGGGGAGCAAACAGGAUUAGAUACCCUAG
rnacentral:rRNA from 1 species